UCUCUAAAGCAUCCAGAACUGACUCAGCUGCAUCAGACUGUGCCCUGUGUCCUGUUGGCAUGUCCCCAUGCUUCGUCCCUGGAGUGAACUACAACCUGGGACUUCCAGAGGCGGCUAUGGUUAGGCAGGGAGCAGCCAGUGUUCUGGAGUAGACCCAGACAUAAACCUAAUUCUUGAUUUGAGAACAGUGGCUCCUCUGAACUGGCUUGAUAAUGUGUUACCAGCCGGGGCGAGUCAGCCAUAGAGGGGCCUGGCAAUCCUUCUGCCCUGCAGAUUCUUUGACUCCUUCUUUUCUUUCUGUUGCUUUUGUUUGCCUAGUUGAGACAGGACCUCACUAUGAAGCCCAGGCUAGGCUUGAGUGAGAUCCCUCUGCCUCAGCCCUGCAGGGUGCUGGAUCCGGGAAUGUGCAGGCUCCUUACUGUUUGGAAGGAGGAAUUCUGCAGGGCUCAGAGCCGCAGGUGUUCCAUCCACCCUUCAGCUGCACUUCCUGUGGAUGAGACCCAGAGAAAUGGGAAGAUCAACUGGGCAGCAAGUGACAAUCACCUACUGAAUGUCACUGCUCCUCGAGUCACCAGAACAGACCGUUGUAUGAAUAAGAAUGACGUCUGCGAGCACCCGCCGUGCUCCACUGAUUGUAUGGGAUGCUCCUGGGAUUGGGCCAAGAGGUUCAACUCCAGCACCAGAGGGAGUAGGAUGCCAGGAGAGGCCAGCUUUGCAAACUCCCAACCCCCCGGGUUCUCAGUGGCAGAAGACUGAGUGUACAGGGACCAAGGUGGCUUGUGGUUGAGCUGAGACCACUGCACUUGGAGCAUCUGUAGCUCCAGACCCCUUCGCUUUCCUGACUCUACGGAUGAGGUGAUUCACGCUUGCUUCCUAUUCUGUCUUCAUGGAGUCAAGGAUGCUCUUAGCACCCGUAUUAGUCUAUUCUGGCUCUGAGAAGAGCAUGCUGUAGACUGGGUGGCUUCUAAACAACAGACCUUGAUCUCUUGGCUGUGAAGGCUGACAAGUUCAAGAUCAAGAGAUUCAGUGUCUCACAAAGGCCAGCUUCCGAUGACUUCUUCUCAUUGUGUCCUCCCAUGCCCGAGGGACGGAGUCUUCGGGUCUCAUUCACAAGGGCACUAUCCCCAGGGUCUAGCCAGCUCCCAAAGGUCUGCUUCCUGAUCCUAUCACACCAUGGACCAGGAUUGCAACCUUUGAUUGGAGGGUGGGGCAUAAAUAUCCAGUCACUGACAACACCCUUCCAGAGCCCUUAGGAUUCAAAAUGAUAAGUGAAUUCUCCAUUCUGGAACUGACACCACCUUCUGGAAAGAAAUAUACAGAAAGAGAAAGUAUACUAGUGUCAAGAAGAGAACGUCCCUGCUUUCCCAAAGAUAUACAAGUGGCCAUCUCAGCGGCUCUAGAUUCUAGAUCAUAGCACAGUGGAUAUGUUUGCUUAUAAAGAUAUUUUGAUCUUUUAGUUUAUGACUCAAAUGGAUUGCCAGAGUGGGGAUGAGGAGACCAAAAACAUAUCUAAGGCUCUUAGAACAUCUUUUCAAAUUGCCUUCCAAAUGGGUCAGAUUAAUUUUCAUCUUAUUCGGGAUCGGUACUGGCUGGUUUUGUGUGUCAACUUGACACAAGCUGGAGUUAUCACAGAGAAAGGAGCCUCCCCUGAGGAAAUGCCUUCAUGAGAUCCAGCUGUAGGGCAUUUUCUCAAUUAGUGAUGGGGGGGGGGGCGGGAAGGACCCCUGGUGGGUGGUGCCAUCCCUGGGCUGGUAGUGCUGGGUUCUAUAAGCAAGCAAGCUGAGCAAGCCAGGGGAAGCAAGCCAGUAAGUAACAUUCCUCCAUGGUCUCUGCAUCAGCUCCUGCUUCCUGACCUGCUUGAGUUCCUGUUCUGACUUCCCUUGGUGAUGAACAGCAGUGUGGAAGUGUAGCAGAAAACAGAAGACCAUUCCCUUGCGACUUGAGUCUUUGAGAAUGGGAACUUAAAGAGAGAGCAUGGCCAUUUUCUUCUUUUUCCAGAGAAGGCAUGGACCAGUCACAGGCAGGUGAGAACUAUGCCAUUGCACUUGAACCCAGGAGACAGCUCAGCAGCUAAGAGCGCUUGCUGAUCUAGCAGCAGAAAGAGAGGUUCAGUUUCGAGUUCCUAUGUCUCUAACUCCAGCUCAAAUGGAUCUAUCGCCCCCUUCUGGCCUCUGAGGGCAACUGCACUCACAUGCACAAACCCACCCACAUACAUACAUACAUAACUAGAAAUAAGAAUUACUUUUUAAAAAAACGUCAUGGCAGAGGAGUACCAACAGGCAGCAUGUGUCCAGAACCUCCUCUGGACUAUAGAUUCCUACAGCACUCAGUGGUAAUCAGACAAUGCUGGGAUUGCUAACAGUGAGCUUAGAGCUGUGGCCACUCCAGUUAUAUACAUGAGGCUGUAGCUGGCUGCCAGGAUGGUACUCCUGGGGAGUGGUGGAACCUUCAGGAGGUGCAGUUUAGAGGGAGGUUCUUGUGUCAGGAGGACGUGUCCCUAGAGGGUGUUGGAGACAGCAGUCUCUUUCCUGGUGCCUUUGUCUCCUGGCCAAGAGGAGAGUUCCUGUGCCUGUAUUUCCUGCCACUUUCAUAGCGUGCCCAAAGCAACGGGGCCACUUUUGCAUUGGAACCUCCCAAACCAUGAGCUAAGUAAGUUUUUGUUUAAUAAAAUAUUUGCUUCAGAUCUUUUGUUAUAGUCAUGGCAAGCCACCCAGUACAGAAAAGAACACAGAAGAAAAAGGGCUAAAGGGGACAAAGACUCAGAGCUGAUGUCCUGGUCCUCCACACCUCACCUCUACUCCAGUGACAGACACUCCAAGUUGUCAUUCUGGCCGGUGUCCAUUCUAAUCUUCUCCUAGUUGAGACUCCAGGUAACAAUACAGUUCCCGGUCUCCCUUUCAGCUGGUUGCACUCAAUGAGAGAUGGAUGCAAGCUCUUUGGCUAUUUCUGCUUACCCACUUCUUGGAAUGUUUUCACAAUGUCUGGUGCCCCAGAAGCCAUGAUGAAGCCACCUUGCAGACAGAAGCCAGGUGCUGAGGCUGGGGGAAUAAAACACAGAAAUGUGGCUGCCUUA